rnacentral:rRNA from 1 species
GGGGGCAACCCUGAUCCAGCAAUGCCGCGUGUGUGAAGAAGGUCUUCGGAUUGUAAAGCCCUUUUGGCGGGGACGAUGAUGACGGUACCCGCACAAUAAGCCCCGGCUAACUUCGUGCCAGCAGCCGCGGUAAUACGAAGGGGGCUAGCGUUGCUCGGAAUGACUGGGCGUAAAGGGCGCGUAGGCUACUGGGCCUAAAGCGUGCGAAAUUCCUGGGCUCAACCUGGGGACUGCUUUUCGUACUUGUGAGCUAGAUUGUGAAAGAGGGUUGUGGAAUUUCCUGUGUAAAGGUGAAAUUCGUAGAUAUUGGAAAGAACACCGGUGGCGAAGGCGGCAACCUGGUCCUUUGCUGACGCUGACGCCCUGAAGCGUGGGGAGCAAACAGGAUUAAAUACCCUGGUAGUCCACGCGAUUAAAUACGUGUGCUGGAUGUUGGGGUGCUUAGUUCUUCAGUGUCUAGCUAACACGAUAAGCACACCGCCUGGGGAGUACGGCCGCAAGGUUGAAACUCAAAAGAAUUGACGGGUU